rnacentral:rRNA from 1 species
UACAGAGGUCUCAAGCGUUGUUCGGAUUCAUUGGGCGUAAAGGGUGCGUAGGUGGCGCCGGUAAGUCGGGGUGUGAAAUUCGAGGCUUAACUCCGAAACUGCAUUCGAUACUGCCGUGCUUGAGGACUGGAGAGGAGACUGGAAUUCAUGGUGUAGCAGUGAAAUGCGUAGAGAUCAUGAGGAAGACCAGUGGCGAAGGCGGGUCUCUGGACAGUUCCUGACACUGAGACACGAAGGCCAGGGGAGCAAACGGGG